GCAUGUGUUAUCACAAAGACAUCUGCCAGUUUACCACUGUUCAAGACAGUGGUUAUUAAAGUCAUGAAGAUUCUACUGGUGUGUGCUGUGCCUCUGUUCUGUGGCUCUGUCCGCAAGCGUGAACUUUCCGCAAUGGCCAACAACGGGUGGUUGUCCUCGCGUUCGUUCGCCUUAUUCCGGCAUCUGCCCUAUCAUGUGUGGACGGGAUGACCUACCAGGCUGCCCAGAAGGAACGCUGUGCUGCGGAACCAACUGCGGAGGAAGCAUGUGUGUCGUUCCGCAAAACACACCUUGAUGGACUUCGGGCACUAAAACUCUUUUACUAACAGGCAUCCUAAUAAAAGCUUAAAGUUA